GACGAACGCUGGCGGCGUGCCUAAUACAUGCAAGUCGAACGCAGUGGGGACGGGUGAGUAACACGUGGGUAACCUCCCAUCAGAGGGGAUAACACUUGGAAACAGGUGCUAAACCGAUACUGAUGGAUGGACCCGCGGUGCAUUAGCUAGUUGGUGAGGUAACGGCUCACCAAGGCCACGAUGCAUGGCCGACCGAGGGGGGUGUUCGGCCAAACUGGAACUGAGAAACGUCCCAGAUUCCUAGGGGAGGCAGCAGUAGGGAAUCUUCGGCAAUGGACGAAAGUCUGACCGAGCAACGCCGCGUGAGUGAAGAAGGUUUUCGGAUCGUAAAACUCUGUGGUUAGAGAAGCGGUAUCAAACCAGAAAGCCACGGCUAACUACGGGCCAGCAGCCGCGGUAAUA
rnacentral:rRNA from 1 species